rnacentral:rRNA from 1 species
GAAGGUGGGAUCCCGGCCCCUCGGGCUGCCGGGCGCACCACCGGCCCGUCUCGCCCGCUCUGUCGGGGAGGUGGAGCGUGAGCGCGCGCGAUAGGACCCGAAAGAUGGUGAACUAUGCCUGGGCAGGGC